rnacentral:rRNA from 1 species
ACUCCUACGGGAGGCAGCAGUGGGGAAUAUUGCACAAUGGGGAAACCCUGAUGCAGCCAUGCCGCGUGUGUGAAGAAGGCCUUCGGUUGUAAAGCACUUUCAGUAGGGAGGAAGGUAGUGUAGUUAACACCUGCAUUAUUUGACGUUACCUACAGAAGAAGCACCGGCUAACUCCGUGCCAGCAGCCGCGGUAAUACGGAGGGUGCGAGCGUUAAUCGGAAUUACUGGGCGUAAAGCGCAUGCAGGCGGCCUGUUAAGUCAGAUGUGAAAGCCCGGGGGCUUAACCUCGGAAUUGCAUUUGAAACUGGCAGGCUAGAGUCUUGUAGAGGGGGUAGAAUUUCAGGUGUAGCGGUGAAAUGCGUAGAGAUCUGAAGGAAUACCAGUGGCGAAGGCGGCCCCCUGGACAAAGACUGACGCUCAGAUGCGAAAGCGUGGGGAGCAAACAGGAUUAGAUACCCUGGUAGACUGUCA